rnacentral:tRNA from 1 species
AGUUGGCUCAGUGGUUAAGAGCACUGACUGCUCUUCCAGGGGUCCUGAGUUCAAUUCCCAGCAACCA